UUCCUCAACUCUCCACAGUCCACAUGUCCAAUCUCAACACCUUUCCCCACUAGUUCCCCUUUCACCAAUUUAUAACAUCUUAUAACUAACAGAAUUUGUAUCCUGUUAGAUAGAUCUUACAAUACCCUUUUUAUUUCUCCUCACAUACACUCUCUUAAUGAGUGGUCUACUAUCAAAUAUCAUUAGCAAACUAUGGAAUACUGGACCAUAGUUUUUGAAGUCAAUUAGUGGUUACAUUUUUCCCAAAAUAUUUCUGUGAUUUCUGUCUUUUCAUGA
rnacentral:lncRNA from 1 species